rnacentral:rRNA from 1 species
AGCAGCCGCGGUAAUUCCAGCUCCAAUAGCGUAUAUUAAAGUUGUUGCAGUUAAAAAGCUCGUAGUUGAAUUUCGGAAUUUGUCGGUUGGUCGGGCUUCACUGUCCGCACUGACCUGAUGGAUUCCUACCUUCUGAAUAACCAGCAUGCUAUUAAUUUAGUGCGUUGGGGAAGCAGAGCUAUUAACCUUGAAAAAUUAGAGUGCUUAAAGCAGGCUUGUGCUUGAAUAGAUUAGCAUGGAAUAAUAAAAUAGGACGGCAUGGUUCUAUUUUGUUGGUUUCUAGGAUCACCGUAAUGAUUAAUAGGGAUAGUUGGGGGCAUUAGUAUUCAAUUGUCAGAGGUGAAAUUCUUGGAUUUAUUGAAGACUAACUUCUGCGAAAGCAUUUGCCAAGGAUGUUUUCAUUAAUCAAGAACGAAAGUUAGGGGAUCGAAGACGAUCAGAUACCGUCGU